rnacentral:rRNA from 1 species
AUUGAACGCUGGGGGCAGGCCUAACACAUGCAAGUCGAGCGGUUGAAGGGAGCUUGCUCCUGGAUUCAGCGGCGGACGGGUGAGUAAUGCCUAGGAAUCUGCCUGGUAGUGGGGGAUAACGUCCGGAAACGGGCGCUAAUACCGCAUACGUCCUGAGGGAGAAAGUGGGGGAUCUUCGGACCUCACGCUAUCAGAUGAGCCUAGGUCGGAUUAGCUAGUUGGUGGGGUAAAGGCCUACCAAGGCGACGAUCCGUAACUGGUCUGAGAGGAUGAUCAGUCACACUGGAACUGAGACACGGUCCAGACUCCUACGGGAGGCAGCAGUGGGGAAUAUUGGACAAUGGGCGAAAGCCUGAUCCAGCCAUGCCGCGUGUGUGAAGAAGGUCUUCGGAUUGUAAAGCACUUUAAGUUGGGAGGAAGGGCAGUAAGUUAAUACCUUGCUGUUUUGACGUUACCAACAGAAUAAGCACCGGCUAACUUCGUG